rnacentral:rRNA from 1 species
CGGCGGACGGGUGAGUAACACGUGGAUAACCUACCUAUAAGACUGGGAUAACUUCGGGAAACCGGAGCUAAUACCGGAUGAUAUUUUGAACCGCAUGGUUCAAAAGUGAAAGACGGUCUUGCUGUCACUUAUAGAUGGAUCCGCGCUGCAUUAGCUAGUUGGUAAGGUAACGGCUUACCAAGGCAACGAUGCAUAGCCGACCUGAGAGGGUGAUCGGCCACACUGGAACUGAGACACGGUCCAG